UACGUAGGGGGCAAGCGUUGUCCGGAUUUAUUGGGCGUAAAGAGCGUGUAGGCGGCCAGGUAGGUCUGCUGUGAAAACUCGAGGCUUAACCUCGAGCUGUCGGCGGAAACCAUCUGGCUAGAGUCCGGAAGAGGAGAAUGGAAUUCCCGGUGUAGCGGUGAAAUGCGUAGAUAUUGGGAGGAACACCAGUGGCGAAGGCGGCUCGCUGGACCGGUUCUGACGCUGAUGCGCGAAAGCGUGGGGAGCAAACGGG
rnacentral:rRNA from 1 species